rnacentral:rRNA from 1 species
AAAGGAGUGAUCCGGUGACGGAUGGGCAUGCGUGACAUUAGCUAGUCGGCGGGGUAACGGCCCACCGAGGCGACGAUGUCUAGGGGUUCUGAGAGGAAGGUCCCCCACACUGGUACUGAGACACGGACCAGACUCCUACGGGAGGCAGCAGUGAGGAAUAUUGGUCAAUGGGCUUACGCCUGAACCAGCCAAGUCGCGUGAGGGAAGACUGCCCUAUGGGUUGUAAACCUCUUUUGUCAGGGAGCAACGCCGGCUACGUGUAGCCGGACUGAGAGUACCUGAAGAAAAAGCAUCGGCUAACUCCGUGCCAGCAGCCGCGGUAAUACGGAGGAUGCGAGCGUUAUCCGGAUUUAUUGGGUUUAAAGGGUGCGUAGGCGGAAUGCCAAGUCAGCGGUAAAAUCGCGGGGCUCAACCUCGCUCCGCCGUUGAAACUGGCGUUCUUGAGUGGGCGAGAAGUAUGCGGAAUGCGUGGUGUAGCGGUGAAAUGCAUAGAUAUCACGCAGAACUCCGAUUGCGAAGGCAGCAUACCGGCGCCCAACUGACGCUGAAGCACGAAAGCGUGGGUAUCGAACAGGAUUAGAUACCCUGGUAGUCCACGCAGUAAACGAUGAAUACUAGCUGUUCGGGGCAAUUGGGCCUUGAGUGGC